rnacentral:rRNA from 1 species
AGCAGCCGCGGUAAUUCCAGCUCCAAUAGCGUAUAUUAAAGUUGUUGCAGUUAAAAAGCUCGUAGUUGAAUUUCGGGGUUAGCAGGUCGGUCGUGCCAUUGGUAUGAACUGGUCUCGCUGAUCCCUCCCUCUUGACGAACUGUGAUGCCAUUAAUUUGGUGUCGCAGGGAAUCAGGACUGUUACUUUGAAAAAAUUAGAGUGUUUAAAGCAGGCUUUCGCUUGAAUACAUUAGUAUGGAAUAAUGAAAUAGGACGUUUGAUCCUAUUUUGUUGGUUUCUAGGAUUGACGUAAUGAUUAAUAGGGAUAGUUGGGGGCAUUAGUAUUCAAUUGUCAGAGGUAAAAUUCUUGGAUUUAUUGAAGACUAACUACUGCGAAAGCAUUUGCCAAGGAUGUUUUCAUUAAUCAAGAACGAAAGUUAGGGGAUCGAAGACGAUCAGAUACCGUCGUAGUCUUAACCAUAAACUAUGCCGACUAGGGAUCGGAUGAUGUUAAUUUUUUAAUGACUCAUUCGGCGCCUUACG